rnacentral:lncRNA from 1 species
AUCUGGGCUUUUAUUGAUUUGUGCUCCUCUUGUCCUUAUGUUCUUGCCAGGGCAUCCACUGUUGGCUGCUGUUGGAGAGAAGAUACUAGACUGAUCCAAUGUGGCCAUUAUUAGGUAAACUGUUAUGUAAUUUGAUAAUUUAUGGAUUUUCAAAGCAAGAACGAUGGAUGUGGAAGGAGGCUACCAGAAACUGGAAAAAACCUUAUCCUAUAGAUCAGUAACAAUUAAUUUUCAAAGCCUCCAGAGKGUCAGAUUUCCUUUAGACCAGAUGCUGGACAGGCAUUCACCCACCAAGUAACAGGGAGUGCGUACUGAGCAGUGCUAGCAAAGAACAACUAUGGGCUCACUAAUUUCUCUGGUAAGUUUGCUCCUAAGUAGAUAAACACUUUGC